CCAGAGCAGGCUCUGAGCCACGAGGGAGGUUGAGGGGCUCCCUAGUCCUCAGAGCGCUGCGGAUGGGCAUUUGAAAGAGGUCCUGCAAUACACAGACAGCCUGGAGAGCUCAUCCUGAGGAUUCAUGGCAGGGAGGGGUAACCUUGGGCCAAGCCCCUGCUGGAGAAGCCAGGAAAUUUCUAGCAACAGUAAAAAUCUGCAGGAAAGCCUGAAGCACAGUUCCAGAAAGUAUCAGUCACAGAAGGCAGAAAUGUAAAGAAAGUCCCAAAUCUGAACGGAAGGACAUCCCUGUGUUCCAAACAUGAUUCGCAUAAGGGCAGCCCCACGAACUCGAGGAGCAGAGGUGAUGUGAUUUAAGGUCACCCCAUCACACCGAGUGGCCAGCACAGGAAGCCAUGCAGGCAGCACUCACAGUCUGCAGCCAGCCGGAGCCCGGAGCUCUUCUGAUUUCCCUCUGAGUAAGGAAAUGACUGCGUGUCCUGUCUCUCA